GACGAACGCUGGCGGCGUGCUUAACACAUGCAAGUCGAACGGAAAGGCCCUGCUUUUGUGGGGUGCUCGAGUGGCGAACGGGUGAGUAACACGUGAGUAACCUGCCCUUGACUUUGGGAUAACUUCAGGAAACUGCGGCUAAUACCGGAUAGGAGCUCCUGCUGCAUGGUGGGGUUUGGAAAGUUUCGGUGGUUGGGGAUGGACUCGCGGCUUAUCAGCUUGUUGGUGGGGUAGUGGCUUACCAAGGCUUAGAAGGGUAGCCGGCCUGAGAGGGGGACCGGCGACAAUGGGACUGAGAGACGGCGCAGACGCCUACGGGAGGCAGCAGGGGGGAGUAUUGCACAAUGGGGGGAAGCGUGAUGAAGAGACGCCGCGUGCGGGAUGAAGGCCUUCGGGUUGUAAACCGCAUUCGCCUGUGACGAAGCGUGAGUGACGGUAAUGGGUAAAGAAGCACCGGCUAACUACGUG
rnacentral:rRNA from 1 species